UCACAGAUGGCUCAGCUGGUAAAGAGUCUGCCUGCAAUGCAGGAGACUCAGGUUCAAUCCCUGGGUUGGGAA
rnacentral:tRNA from 1 species